rnacentral:rRNA from 1 species
GGAGUUUGGGCCGUGUCUCAGUCCCAAUGUGGCCGUUCAUCCUCUCAGACCGGCUACUGAUCGUCGCCUUGGUGGGCCGUUACCCCACCAACUAGCUAAUCGUACGCAUCCCCAUCCAUCGGCAACCGAAGCCUUUCGUGAAAAUCAGAGGCCUUCUUCUCACAACAUCAGGUAUUAGGCUCCCUUUCGGGAGUUUAUCCCUGACCCAUGGGCAGGUUACCCACGCGUUACUCACCCGUCCGCCACUAAGUAUUAUAAAAUCCAUCCGAAAACUUCAUUUCUAAUACUCCGUUCGACUUGCAUGUGUUAAGCACGCCGCCAGCGUUCAUC